UGGCUUCUGGGGUGUUCGCCAGUUAUUGUUGCCCUGAGCCACAUUAAACUGUUUUAGGGAGCUCUUCUUGAGCCUCUUCUGAGCACGCUUAUACUGACUAGCUCGCCUAGCCCAGUCCCUAAGAAGCCUUUGAGAUUCACAGGGUUCCCCCUUGUACCUUUUUGGUUCAAGGAGCUGAACUUAGCAGCGGCAUUUCUGGGGUCAUC
rnacentral:other from 1 species